AGCUCAAUAAUAAAAUGAAACCUGCAAUAUUCAAAUGAGGAAACAUUUUUUUUACUGAAAAAUAAUCGUUCAGCAACAAAGCAGAUAAGUUAUUUUUCUGAAAGCCUCGCUGUAUUUCUCCAUGUUUAAGGUUUAACUGUGAGUUUUAGUCUAUUUAAUGAUAUUAAAAUAAAAGCAAAAAUGAAAAGGCAUUAGAAAUUAAAUGGCCAAUCAAAGAAUAAAAUACUUGAUGUUUUACUACAAAUGUUCAAUUUAAAAAGAUUUGUUUUUGAAAAUCUCAUCAUAAAAACACCAAAAGUGUUGAUCUGCAUGAGCGCCAUCUGCUGGUGGGUCGAAUUUCUACAAUCCUUUAACUGCAGUCAGGAGCCACAGAAAACUAUUCCAAGGGCCGAUAAAGGCCCGCAGGCCACACUUUGAACAACACUGCCCUCUGGUCAGCAGGGGGCGGUACUGAGUAUUCAGAGGUUAGACUGAACUUCCACAUGCUGGGAAUUUGACCCAUCAGCUGAAACCUUUUACAUGUAAGCUUGUUGUGAAAGCGAAAUGAAGACACAAAGUCAGAAUGUUCCCUUUUUAACAAGUACACAAGUGUCUGAAUUCAAUUUAUUUAUAUAUGCAAGCAAGUUUAUGUCUUUACAAAUCAAAAAGCCACUGUCUGCCUGAGCUGUUGGCACAGAUAUGUACAGAGAUGGAGCGAACCAGAUGGAGCUUGCUACUAAGCAACCAGAGGGAUGUAAAGCGAGACGGGGAGGUGAUGGAGAACAGAGAAGAAGACAUCUGAUGUCCAGAAUGUCCAACCUGACAAGAUGCAUGAAGCUGAAGGUCAGCUGAAGAUCGCAGACCUUCAGACCUGCUCAGGAUGGAGAAAGCUGAUCAUCCACCCUGUAAGAACCAGCUCAGAUCUUCUCACAGAGGACUGGAGGUCAGAUUUUAGUAUAAUUCAUGCUUUUUUUCUGCUGACACGGAGGGUUUGUGAAUCCUGAGUGAGAUCAGGAUCCUGGAAUGAUGGGUCCAUGUUCAGCUGCAGUCAGCAG